rnacentral:rRNA from 1 species
AGAGUUUGAUCCUGGCUCAGAACGAACGCUGGCGGCAUGCCUAAUACAUGCAAGUCGGACGCGUGUAGCAAUACACGAGUGGCGCACGGGUGAGUAACGCGUGGGAACCUGCCCUGGAGUGUGGGAUAACCCGGCGAAAGCCGGGCUAAUACCGCAUACGCCCUGAGGGGGAAAGAUUUAUCGCUCCAGGAGGGGCCCGC